rnacentral:rRNA from 1 species
UGCCUACGGGGGGCUGCAGUGGGGAAUAUUGGACAAUGGGCGAAAGCCUGAUCCAGCCAUGCCGCGUGUGUGAAGAAGGUCUUCGGAUUGUAAAGCACUUUAAGCUGGGAGGAAGGGCAGUAAGCUAAUACCUUGCUGCCUUGACGUUACCAGCAGAAUAAGCACCGGCUAACUUCGUGCCAGCAGCCGCGGUAAUACGAAGGGUGCAAGCGUUAAUCGGAAUUACUGGGCGUAAAGCGCGCGUAGGUGGUUCAGCAAGUUGGAUGUGAAAGCCCCGGGCUCAACCUGGGAACUGCAUCCAAAACUACUGAGCUAGAGUACGGUAGAGGGUGGUGGAAUUUCCUGUGUAGCGGUGAAAUGCGUAGAUAUAGGAAGGAACACCAGUGGCGAAGGCGACCACCUGGACUGAUACUGACACUGAGGUGCGAAAGCGUGGGGAGCAAACAGGAUUAGAUACCCCGGUAGUCCCG